rnacentral:rRNA from 1 species
GAGGUGUGGCUCGCACCUGUCCAACUAAACUUGAGCUACCUUUUUUCAACACGGUUGCAUCGGUUGGCCUGUCAAACAGUGCGGAUUUUCCGCAGUGGGCGACGGACCGACACUUAAUCAACACUUUUGAUGAUCUAGGAUUUGAAUGAUAAAAGUUCAUUUUUACAAAUGGAAUCGACUGGUAAUGCGGUCGUCUAAUUUUAAAAACAACUUUUGGCAACGGAUCUCUUGGUUCUCCCAUCGAUGAAGAACGCAGCGAAUUGCGAUAAGUAAUGUGAAUUGCAGAAGUGAAUCAUCGAAUCUUUGAACGCACCUUGCGCUCCCGGCAGAUCUAAUCUGGGGAGCAUGCCUGUUUGAGGGCCGCGAAUUGUUUCGAACGACAACUUUUUUUUGUAACGAAGAGAGUUGGCGGAUCGGUAUUGAGGGUCUUGCCAUUCACCGUGGCUCCCUCGAAAUGCAUUAGCGCAUCCAUUUGAUAGGCAAGACGGACGAAAGCUCGAUUUUCGCUCUCUCUUCCCUGCCGGGUUUUGAUAAUAUCAGGACUUCGGAGAGGUUGAGAUGGGUAAGAGCUGGACGCAACGGCUUGCUGUUUGGCGCGCUUCUGAAACCCGCCCAUGUCGAAGCUCUAGGGCUUCGGAAGGGAUUUACAAUAAUUCAUCGGCCUCAGAUUGGUAGGACUACCCGCUGAACUUAAGCAUAUCAAUAA